rnacentral:rRNA from 1 species
GAUGAACGCUGGCGGCGUGCCUAAUACAUGCGAGUCGAGCGAACAGACGAGGAGCUUGCUCCUCUGACGUUAGCGGCGGACGGGUGAGUAACACGUGGAUAACCUACCUAUAAGACUGGGAUAACUUCGGGAAACCGGAGCUAAUACCGGAUAAUAUAUUGAACCGCAUGGUUCAAUAGUGAAAGACGGUUUUGCUGUCACUUAUAGAUGGAUCCGCGCCGCAUUAGCUAGUUGGUAAGGUAACGGCUUACCAAGGCAACGAUGCGUAGCCGACCUGAGAGGGUGAUCGGCCACAAUGGAACUGAGACACGGUCCAGACUCCUACGGGAGGCAGCAGUAGGGAAUCUUCCGCAAUGGGCGAAAGCUUGACGGAGCAACGCCGCGUGAGUGAUGAAGGUCUUCGGAUCGUAAAACUCUGUUAUUAGGGAAGAACAAAUGUGUAAGUAACUAUGCACGUCUUGACGGUACCUAAUCAGAAAGCCACGGCUAACUACGUG